UACGUAGGGGGCUAGCGUUGUCCGGAUUUAUUGGGCGUAAAGAGCGUGUAGGCGGCCAGGUAGGUCUGGUGUGAAAACUCGAGGCUUAACCUCGAGAUGUCAUCGGAAACCAUCUGGCUAGAGUCCGGAAGAGGAGAGUGGAAUUCCGGGUGUAGCGGUGGAAUGCGUAGAGAUCCGGAAGAACACCGGUGGCGAAGGCGGCCUGCUGGGCAGUAGCUGACGCUGAGGCGCGACAGCGUGGGGAGCAAACAGG
rnacentral:rRNA from 1 species